rnacentral:misc_RNA from 1 species
AAAAAGUGAAAGAGGUGGGAAGAGUUAGUUAGGGAUAUAUAAAUGUCAGUUGUAAAGAGGAAAGGAUCAUCAUAUGAGUAAUAACAGAAUCUGUUUCUCUCAUAUCUCAACCUCUCUCUAUUUUUGAGUCUAAUUCUCUAAUUCUCUUAGGCUCUUUCUCUUCUCCUAGUCUAUUAACUCUUCUAUAACGGCUUGUUAGGGUUUAGAUCCUAACAGAUGUACACAGCACUUAUGCAACGAUUUGAUACCCUUUUUUUCUUGUUCUUAUUGAUGCUACUUGUAAUUUCUGAUUAUAAUUAUCUUUUUGUUGAG